AUUGAACGCUGGCGGCAUGCCUAACACAUGCAAGUCGAGCGAGUGGCGGACGGGUGAGUAAUGUAUGGGGACCUGCCCGGUAGCGGGGGAUAACUACUGGAAACGGUGGCUAAUACCGCAUACUAUUGGAUUGUCCGAUAUGGGAUUAGCUAGUAGGUGGGGUAAAGGCUCACCUAGGCGACGAUCCCUAGCUGGUUUGAGAGGAUGAUCAGCCACACUGGGACUGCGACACGGCCCAGACUCCUACGGGAGGCAGCAGUGGGGAAUUUUGGGCAAUGGGGGCAACCCUGACGCAGCCAUGCCGCGUGAAUGAUGAAGGCCUUCGGGUUGUAAAGUUCUUUUAGUAGGGAGGCGUUACCGACAGAAGAAGCACCGGCUAACUCCGUGCCAGCAGCCGCGGUAAUAC
rnacentral:rRNA from 1 species